rnacentral:rRNA from 1 species
ACCUGACUGCUAUCGGAUUGGUACUAAGCCAUGCGAGUCGUUGUAGCAAUACAAGGCAGACGGCUCAGUAACACGUAGUCAAUCUACCCUAUGGACGUGGAUAACCUCGGGAAACUGAGAAUAAUACACGAUAGAUCAUAAUGCCUGGAAUGGUUUAUGAUUAAAAUGAUUUAUCGCCGUAGGAUGGGACUGCGGCCUAUCAGCUUGUUGGUGAGGUAAUGGCCCACCAAGGCUAUAACAGGUACGGGCUCUGAGAGGAGAAGCCCGGAGAUGGGUACUGAGACACGGACCCAGGCCCUAUGGGGCGCAGCAGGCGAGAAACCUUAGCAAUGUGCGAAAGCACAACUAGGUUAAUCCGAGUGAUUUCUGCUGAAGAAAUCUUUUGUCAGUUCUAAAACUACUAAUGAAUAAGGGGUGGGCAAGUCUGGUGUCAGCCGCCGCGGUAAUACCAGCACCUCGAGUGGUCAGGAGGUUUAUUGGGCCUAAAGCAUCCGUAGCCGGCUUUGCAAGUCUCCGGUUAAAUCCAACUGCUCAACAGAUGGGCUGCCGGAGAUACUACAAAGCUAGGGAGCGGGAGAGGCAGACGGUAUUCGGUGGGUAGGGGUAAAAUCCUCUGAUCCAUUGAGGACCACCAGUGGCGAAAGGCGGUCUGCCAGAACGCGUUCGACGGUGAGGGAUGAAAGCUGGGGGAGCAAACCGGAUUAGAUACCCGGGUAGUCCCAGCUGUAAACGAUGCAACUCGGUGAUGCAUUGGCUUAUGGCCAAUGCAGUGCCGCAGGAAGCCGUUAAGUUUGCCGCCUGGNAGUACGUCCGCAAGACUGAAACUUAAANAAUUGGCGGGGGAGCNCCACAAGGG